AAAUAUAUCGUUUAAUCUUCGUACUACAUUUUUUUCUUGUUAUUUUUAUUUUACGAUCCCAAACCUGACACCAUUUAAGUAAAUUGAAAAUAUAUUGGUGGAAGAUGGGAUGGAAAGAGAUAUAUAACUGGAAAAGCACUAUCCCAAAAUGGAAGUUGAAGAAGUAAAACUAAAGAAAAAAGAACCUUCGUAAGACUC
ensembl:ncRNA T14B4.16 ncRNA